AUGGGGUGCAGCAGGCGCGAAAUCUUCACAAUGUGCGAAAGCACGAUGAGGGGAUCCCAAGUGCUGGCACGUAAGUGUCAGCUGUUUCUUAGUCUAAAAAACUGAGAGAGUAAGGGCUGGGUAAGACGGGUGCCAGCCGCCGCGGUAAUACCUGCAGCUCAAGUGGUGGCCGCUAUUAUUGGGCCUAAAACGUCCGUAGCCUGUUUAGUAAAUGCUUGGGUAAAUUGUGUAGCUUAACUAUACGAAUACCGAGUAGACUGCUAAACUUGGGACCGGGAGAGGCUAGAGGUACUCCUGGGGUAGAGGUGAAAUUCUGUAAUCCUAGGGGGACCACCAGUGGCGAAGGCGUCUAGCUAGAACGGGUCUGACGGUGAGGAACGAAGCCCUGGGGCGCAAACCGGAUUAGAUACCCGGGUAGUCCAGGGUGUAAACGCUGCUUGCUUGAUGUUAGUUGGGCUCCGAGCCCAAUUAGUGUCGGAGAGAAGUUGUUAAGCAAGCUGCCUGGGAAGUACGAUCGCAAGAUUGAAACUUAAAGGAAUUGGCGGGGGAGCAC
rnacentral:rRNA from 1 species